GACGAACGCUGGCGGCGUGCUUAACACAUGCAAGUCGAACGGUGAAGCGCCUUCCGUUUUGUUGGGUGUGGGUGAGUGGCGAACGGGUGAGUAACUCGUGAGUAACCGGCCCCCUUCUUCUUGAUAACCGCAUGAACUUGUGGCGAAUACGGGCUAUUCUGGGUCUGUCGCAUGAUGGGUGUGGGAAAGAUAUUGUUUCGGUGGGGGACGUGCUCGCGUCCUAUCAGCUUGUUGGUGGGGUGAUGGCGUACCAGGGCGGUGACGUGUAGCCGGCUUGGGAGGGUGGCCGGUCACACUGGGAGUGAGACACGGCUGAGACUGCUACGGGACGCAGACGCGGGCAAUAUUGAACAGUGGGCGCAAGUCUGAUGCGGCCACGACGCGUGAGCGAUGGAGGCCUUCGCGUUGUGAACGUCUUUGGCCAGUGAAGCAGGCUUGCCUCGUUUGUGGGGGGGUUGACGGUAGCUGGAUAAGAAGCGCCGGCUAACUACGUG
rnacentral:rRNA from 1 species